rnacentral:pre_miRNA from 1 species
CUCAUACUCCCUCCGUCCGGAAAUACUUGUCAUUGAAAUGGAUGUAUAUAGAUGUAUUUUAGUUGUAGAUACAUCCAUUUUCAUCCAUUUUGAUGACAAGUAUUUCCGGACGGAGGGAGUACAUU